rnacentral:rRNA from 1 species
UACGUAGGGGGCUAGCGUUGUCCGGAAUCAUUGGGCGUAAAGCGCGUGUAGGCGGUUCGGUAAGUCCGCUGUGAAAGUCGGGGGCUCAACCCUCGGAUGCCGGUGGAUACUGUCGGGCUUGAGUACGGAAGAGGCGAGUGGAAUUCCUGGUGUAGCGGUGAAAUGCGCAGGUAUCAGGAGGAACACCAAUUGCGAAGGCAGCUCGCUGGGACGUUACUGACGCUGAGACGCGAAAGCGUGGGGAGCAAACAGG